AGGCAGCGAGCGUUGUUCGGAGUUCUGGGCGUAAAGGGUGCGUAGGCGGCCUCUUAAGUUUGGUGUGAAAUCUCCCGGCUUAACCGGGAGGGUGCGCCGGAUACUGAGGGGCUAGAGUGUGGGAGAGGAAAGUGGAAUUCCUGGUGUAGCGGUGAAAUGCGUAGAUAUCAGGAGGAACACCUGUGGUGUAAACGGCUUUCUGGACCAUAACUGACGCUGAGGCACGAAAGCGUGGGUAGCAAACAGGAUUAGAUACCCUGGUAGUCCACGCCCUAAACGAUGCAUAUUUGGUGUGGGCCAUUCAGUUGGUCUGUGCCGGAGCUAACGCGUUAAAUAUGCCGCCUGGGGAGUACAGUCGCAAGGCUGAAACUCAAAGGAAUUGACGGGGGCCCGCACAAG
rnacentral:rRNA from 1 species